GGGUGGUCUGAGUGCAGUGGUGUUUAGAACUAAUUGAUCACACAAGUAGUUCCGAAUUUCUUUGUUCCUUCUUUACUCACACUGCCUCGCUUGACUAGCCUAAA
ensembl:misc_RNA Y_RNA Y RNA